CUGUAUGGACUCAAGGGAAGUGGACCCGAAAGGAGAGUCGCCUACACUCAAACUUAAGGGAACUGAGAGCGGUUUACAAGGCCAUAUUGAGAUUCCUGCCAAGGAUAAAAAAUUCUUGGGUUCUAAUCAAGACAGACAACCGAGCGGUGGCCUCAUAUCUGAACAACCAAGGUGGCACAAGGAGCAGGUUGCUCCUGGAAGAGCUGGCUCCCUUAAUGGCAAUAGCAAUGACCUAUCUUCAAGGUCUGAAGGCGAUCUAUCUCCCAGGUUCGGAGAACGUGACGGCAGACUUCCUCAGCAGGAAGGAAAUUCUUC